ACAAGAUACACCAUCUAAUGUUUCGUUGACCUUCAAUGUUUAUCCAUUUGUUUAUGAACCAUGGCAAAAAUUUAUUUCACUGAGUUCGGAGUGCCUUAACGGAGGAUUUUCAAACCAAAACGGAUGUGUAUGUCAUCCUGGCUUCAAAGGCAAUAACUGCGAAUAUGGAUGUGGAUCGAACAAAUUUGGCACUGACUGUACCGGAAUGUGUUCAAUACAUCAAACGCAGUGUCGACAAAUGAUAUUUUGUACCAAAGGAUUUGGGUGCAAAUGUCCAGCGGGAUAUAGCGGUCUUCACUGCACAAAAGUUGCAGAUAAACUGGAAAAUCUCAGGACAACAGACGUAGGCUCUACGUACAUAUCCCUGAAAUGGGACAUUCCAUGGAUACUCAACGGUG